CUCCACAUCUUUGUUUUUCUUGCUCAACGACGGACAUCUUGAACAAAACGCAACAAUUGGUGACCCCGACGUGAUGUCCAGUUGAGCGGUUUUUGGACAAAGAGAGGGAGAGCUUCUUCUGCGGUCUGGAGGCCCGGGGCCCCACCUUUAGAAGGUAAGAAGGCUUUUUCCUUUAUAAACUGUGGCCUCUGCACCAGGAGUCAGCCCAGCCCAACUAGGUAGUCUGUAACAUUCGAUAGCCGUGUUCCAAAUGUAUAAUGGUUUAUUGCUGUGUUUUCACUGCUUUGUGGAGUUAUUCAUGUGCAAGUUAGGCAUCAUUGUUUCAUGUGUUCUGUCUGUGUAAAUAUAGCCAUAUUGUAUAAGCGUCACUUGAAUUGUAGUUCAAGUAGACAUAUAUAAAAUGGAUUUAGUCAUUGAAUCUGAAUUUAGCGGCUUCAGAGUUGGUCCACCUUAUACCAGCAACUGUUGCACUCUCCGACAGUAGUACAGUAUAUGGGUUGGGCAUCAAAGAGUGACUCCUGUAAUCCAGCUCACAAGAUCCGAGGGCGCAUUAAAACAACAACUGCACCCACACGGAUGUGCAACAUUCAUCUGGGGGGCCCCAUUGUGCCCCAACAAAGCCUCGGCGCUAUGUCGCAUUCCCGAAAUCCACGCGCGGAGAAGGAGAGAUAUUUUUCACACCGAGGCACAAAGCCACAAAGCGUCGGUCUGCGUGACUCAUGCGUCGGGAGGAAAAGAGGCUGAGUAAUCACAAUAAUAAGCAUCAUCAUCCUGCCGUCUCGACAGUUGCUGCUCAGCGGGACUCAACAAUACCGGAACCAAGAAUCUGAUAUCACUCGUCGAGAUGAGACAACAUUAAGAUGAAAUCAACUGGCAGUGCUGACUAGGCUAAUAGUCGAGUGCUGCUAAUUAUUUCCAUCUCUCCGCUGGUAAUGGGGUAGAGGGUUUUUUAUUUGGCUGGCUCUGCUCAAGUGUCCUUAUGGGGAUUGACCUGACUGCCUUGCGCUAAACUGCCUGCUGUUGCAAAAUUGUUUUGGUGAAGACACGGAAUGCUGCACUAGGGAGAUAUCAAAGAAAUACUCAAAUGUUUUUUGUUUUCAAAGUAAUGGCGUGCAGAUGUCAACGAGAGCGCAUUUGCCUCGCGAUUAAUAUACGCGUAUGCUAAAGUUGCCGUACCAGUGUGCAGAAACACCAUCCAGUAGUGGAAAAAAUAUUACACGUAAGACUCAAUCAUCCUACAGUGGGAGCUGUGGUUCUCAAAGUCUGGUACUAGUAACACUGGUUGCACACUCUCGUGGUGCGUGAAAGAAUCACUGACUUCAAUAUUGAAAACACAGAUGUGGUUUCAACUCCUUUUCAAUCAAAAACAGUACGUUAAUCACAGUUUCAUUUUUAAGUACAAAAUAUUUUCAUAAAACCUUUCAAAAGUGUUUUCAAAUAUUUAUUUACCUACAAUUGACAUAACUUUAUAUACAACAUAAUUGAGUUGAAUUAUUCGAUAUUUUUUAUAUCAUUAAGGGCAGUGUUAAUGUUCAAAUUGUGCUCAAUGUUACAGUCUGAUAAUAAUUUUAAAUAUUCUUUUUUAGGAUUUCAUGAUGAAUCGAAAAGCCAAGUAUUUUUAUAUGGUACUCGGUGUAAAAUGAUCGUACUAGUAUAUCAACUUUUAGCUGUGUAUGAAAAUUACCGAAUAACGAGUAGCGAACACCAUGAGUAUUCUUUUGUCACAUCUUUUUCAGAGCGACAGAUAUAAUAGAAGACCCAUACUUUUACUGCAUAGAAUUUCUAUUAACGCAGUUUUUAGACAUUUGUGAAACACACAAUGAUUUGUCAAUGUGUUAAACUGCCACAGUGUAGCACCAACACCUCGUGAGAAGGACUUAUAUAGGAUUUUUUUGGCCCUCGGUAUCCGUGCUCGUUCUAUAGCGCGCACGAUUGUCUUGUGAGAAAGCGCUUACUAGUACAUGGACCUCGAAUUGGAUAUCCAGGAUAUCGAAUAAAACUCGAGCAGCUUUCCGUAGUGGCGUAAUGGGCAGAGAUGAAAACUCGAUGUCAUCUGUGACAAGUGUGUAUUUGUGUAUAUGAGGCAGCAGAAGGGAAGCCAGGGGUGCGUCUUAGCUGCCACGAGCUUUGCCUCUUGCCCUGAGAAGCCAUCAUCCAUGAUCUCAUCUAGAGGGGAGGGGAGGGAAAAAUCCCCUGCGCGUCCUCUCCUUCAGCUGCUGAUCUCUCCCUCGGCAUUCCAACUCUCUUAGCAGCUCCCACUCGUACUCUUCUAGGGGAAGAUAGAGCCGGAGAAGCAAAAAAAGAGAAAGUGGUGCUGAAAUCACAGACCCCACCAAGAGGUUGUGGGCAGCUUCAUGUGAUGUCAUCAUCUGCGAAUUUGUUGACAGCAAGAGAAAUGAAAAGAGAUGACUUCAAAAGAACUAAGGUCAUCUCUUCAUGGGAUUUACAUGUUCCUGGUCUUGGAGCUCCUUCGUAGUUUAAGCGACGGGGUGUCGACACACUGGUCAUGGCCUAUAAAUAUUGACAAUCUUAUGGUUAAGAAGUCAGCCAGUGAGGUCGACAUUUUGGUCAGGACGACGUUUCUCUCUUAGGUAAUGAAUCAUGAUGAUUGGUGAUCUCCGGAACUUUUACCUCAGACCACCCACAGUGUAAAAAUGUCCAGGUUUUGCUGGAAAAAUACUGCUGGAUUCCCCCAUGACAGGGAAAUAUCACAACUAAUGGCUUUUUAAUGGGCUAGCUGUAUUCAAGUUAGGAAUGAUAAAGUGAAGGGUGCCGGGUAAUGCACUAAGGUUUCAUCUCAACUCAGUCUGGGCAAAUGUGUGGCCUCAAGGGACGGAUUUUCAUUUUUAAAACCGACAUUGCACAUGUGAUCAUACACUCUCUGAGAAUAUUAUACAACGUUGUUACAGAAUGCACUGAUAAUAUGAGAUUUUGCAUGCGGCUGAUGAUAAAUUCCUUUUUGGUCUUAGUAUACUGUACUUUGCACAACAAAAAGUGGAAUGAGACUGGCUCACAUGUAAGAUAUUUAGCUAUACAAUACAUUUCUAGAAUUAGUUCUGCAGCUGAAGUCAUUGAAGGAAUGGGAUGAGAAUUCUUUUUACUCUGGUAUAUUUUCCAAAUGUAAUCAACAUUUUUUAAUUUAACUUCAUAGGUUGAAAUGGGCAUUUUUAAAAUAAUAAUUUAAAAAAAACUUGAGGUAGGUGAUAAAGGGAGUUUUGCAUGACUGAAAUUUCUCCACACCACUUUCAAGAUCAAACUGGAACAGUCACAGUGUAAAAUAUUUAGCAAUGUGGGGCCAAGUGAGGUGCCCCCCCCCCCCCCUUGGUAUGCACAGCAGUCAACCACAGAGGAAAGACAGUGAAAAAGAAUGUCUGCAGCCCACUCAUUUGGUAACCAGAGCCUUCUGCUGUCUACUCUGACAUCCAUCCUCCUCCUUUGUAAUUGGCCCCGGCGGCAGCCACCUCAACUGAGUAGCACGCGUCCUCUUGAUCCUUUAAAACCACCAAUAGGUUGCCUGCUUCUGCAAACAAACACUGGACGGAUGUGGGAGGAGUUUUACAGAACCGCAGGGCCCGCUGUAAAAGGCAGAGAAAACAGAUGAGUCAAGCAUACAGUCAGCCUUCCUUCCUAUCUGUUUGGUUAUGCCUUUGUGUGUGCGCGCGCGUGCGCGUGUGUGUGUGCGUAUUUGGGCGAUGGCUCUUUCUCACCCAACUGUUGGUGCCCAGGUGACAUCAGCAAUGGGGAAUCUGCUGGCAUCCCUGCACAGUCAGGACCCUGCUGACAUGGAGGGCAGAAGCAAGCCAAUGACACAAAAACACCACGUCAUUGAUAGGUUUUGUUGCAUUUGAUGAGUUACAAUGGUCUCAGCAUCUACCCUUAUAUGGAGAUACUGCAAAGAAAUCAUAGUUACUGUGAUGCCUCGUGAAUUAUGUGUUGUAUUUUAUUACCUAUUGUAUUGGAAAUGAUAUAGCAUAAUAAACAGGAAGAAAAUAGGGGUGGCCUUUCAGUGCAUUAAGUGUUCUUACAUUUUAGAGUGAACAUCUGCAGGCUUUGAUUGACCAAGAAUCAAGUUAGCUGUGUUUACACCUACAAUGGCACAAAUGCCCAUUUCGAUACAUAUCGAUACCAAAAGAAAUAAAAAUCCACCCAUGUGCCACAGUUAGACUUUGCACUAGAUUUGCACUGGGCACCAAGAUAGGGCCUUUACUCAAAAUUCUGGGAUUUGCAAUGUUAUCACGUUUGUCAUAAAAAUCCACUAUCUCUAAUUCUACGUUUUGUGUUUGUGUUACACACCGUUACCAAAAUGUCAAACAUGCAAUUGUUUGCUGCAGUGGGUCAAUUUAAAAAGCCCAGUUUUAGAUAUCACUCUUGUACUGGAUUAUGCAGGUGUCCUUUACUCAGUAGCUGGUAAGAGUCACAUUUUUAUAACACUUGGAGGAUGUUGGACAGUCUGUAAAUAAGCUCAAAGAAAAUUAGGCAUGUGCUUUCAUUACUUAGCGCAUGUAUCCGUUUGUGACGAAGCACACAGGAAGAGGAACUAAAAGGAGACAGGAUGAGGAAAUGGAGCUGGGGAUAUUAGAGAUGUAUGCAGCACAGGAAUAAAGACCAAAGCAGGUAGUGGACAGGAAGUGACAGGAAGUCAUCUUUUCCGUCUCACGUUACUGCUGACCUUAUCUCGCUCUUACUCCUCUGUCGCUUUGUCAACCUCAGCGUCCACGUGCUCGUCCAUUGAGCGCGUACCCUUUUCGGUCACGCCAUAACGGCGGCCAUGUUGUCACCACUUCAUCCAUCAGUCCUGGGUGGCUUCCCUUUGGCAGCAGCAGCAGCUGCGAAUGGGAACAACCACUCGCCCUUUACGGUAAAUUCAAAAUUUAAUCACCUAACAACAUCAGCUCCUGUUGAUGAGGUGCGGUAAGAAAAUAAUUGCGUUUCCAACUGUCGGCGUACGCACUUCCAUGGAAAGCACCCAUUGUUGCCUCUCGGCAGGGCAGGAAGCACCUUUCCACAACAAACUCACCAUCCUCACUGAGACCGAAUCAAGUCCAGCCACUGUCUACUUAAUUAUACUUUGCAGAGUGAUCUUUUGAUGGCGCCUUAGCUUACUUUAGAAUCUUGUGAGUUAGCCAGCCAAUCUCAGUGCUGACCCAGGCACGGAUGAAUAGUAAGGAAGGUCAUCACCUGUUUUUAUUCCGUCCAUCUGUACAUGCUGAGAAAAACUCUUUGGAAAGACAAGGAUGAUCAUGGGUCAAUGAUACUACGGUGAGGCCAUGGCAUCACCAGAAACAUGCUAUCUCAUUCACAACCCAGACGGAGCAUAUUUUCACACUACAGUGGAACCUCAAAGGUGGACAAUUCUUCACAUAGAAAAUCAUGCAAACAAAAAUUGCACUGCAAAGGAAAAAAUCCAAAAAUGUUCAACUGAAUUGUUGGAAUCCAGGGGUACUGAAUUUCUUGCCUGACAGUUUACAGUGCCUCUUGUAAAUGUAAUCACAAGUUCAAUGUUACAUACCCCUGUGCUUAAGAAACAGAACAGAGCGAACGUUCUUCUCUCAGCAUUCCGUCAUCCCGGGAAUAGCAGCUAUGCGAGCAUGACGGCACGACACUAUUUCGGUGUCUUUGCUACUUGACAUUGAGGGGACGGGAUUAGGUGGCUUGACUACUGUAAGUGACCAUCCCCUGUCACACAUACACGUAUGUGCAAACGCUAAUGCGCAUUCAUGUCACAAAUUAGUCUUAGUUUGAGUUUAAAUGUUAAUUUUUAAAGGCAAUUUUUUUGUUACUCAUCCAUUUCUUUGUUAUCCAAGAUUAAGGUAUUGACAGUAGGUUAUUUUAGCAAAUUCGUAUUCAUUAGAAUAGUGUGUAGACGACUGGGGGCACAAGGAUAAUAAUUACUAUAACAGCGAUGCGAAUUUGGUUUUGCUCAUCUAUGCCGUUUUGUAUUAUACGUCAGCAUUAAGCUAGUGGACUUUUGGAAAAGAACAUUUUAGUGUGGUUGAAUGUACUGGUGUUUCGGUACCGUAUGUAAUUUCUAACCCUUUUGCUUUAUGUACUUCAACUAGGGGUAAAAAAUACAUCUUGACGCAAGCACACUUGCCUCUUUAUUGGGCAAUUAGGCAAGAGAGAGUCUCCUUUUCAUUUUCUUAAGUUUUGUUGAAGUGGUUGCCAUUUUUUGCAAACAGCCAGAAUAAGUGCAAAGGAACACUUUAAAAGUAUAUUUUAAAGCAUUAAAAUGUGCUCAAAGGAUAUAAAAGUCAUUUUUAUUCAUACGAUACUUCGAUAGUGCAGACUUUCACGUAUCUUGGUUCUGAAAUGUAUUCCCUGUGAUAAAUGGAGAUUCACUGUCAAAGCAUUUGAAUAGGUUGAGGCACCAUUUUAUUUGAAAUGUGACAGAAUAAUGAGUAAGGAAAUGAAGGGCUUGAACAUACAUCUUCCCUGCGUUUUUCUGAGGAAGUACUGCGGCUUUUUACAUAUAAAAGUUGGGUUAACCCUCACCAGCAAAGAAAGCCGACACACACUCACAUACACAAGCUGUGUAACAACUUCCGUGUAGGAGGUGACUUCAAGGGGUGAGUCACUUUCAGCUUGCCUUUGAGCCCAGCUGGGUCUUUCGGGUGUCCUCGAACCUCAUUAAAACCGCGUGUGCCACAUACAUGACAGCAUUGUUGCAUCCUGCGACUAUUUACUGCAUGUGGUUUCUGUGAACCCCAGUGGCAUCCAGGGGCGGCCGAGGUCUCAGAUGUUCUCGCUGGUGCCGUGUCUUUGAACAUGACAUCUGUUGGGUUGGCCAUAUGCGUAACUCUGCGAGCGUGUAAACUGCUGUGUCCACCACAUUGUACAUCUGUUGAAAAUGUUCACAUGGCUGUAAGGUCUCUCAUUGAUCAGUCAUGAUGACUUUGAUGAUGUCGGCAAUCUGCAUUUCAAAUUUAGGCUAUUCAUUGAAAAUUGAGAUACAUUAACUCAUCAGUACCAGCCCAGUUCAAACCGAUGUUUGAUGUCAAGAGUCGUCAUUGGCAGUGAAUGAGUUAAGUUAAAAGAAAACGAAGUAACUGUCACCUAAAGCUAAAAAUAUUUGUUUCAUAAUCAUUUCCUGCAGGCUUUAGUCAAUAGGGUCAGAAAAUAGGUAAUGGGCGGUUAAUUAUCAUUUUGUAUGUUCUUUUUGAUGAAAUGGACGAAUGAUGAAGUGACCAGACUGUUCCCAGACUGUAAAAGUCAAGUUUAAAGGCUAAAUAAACUCCAUACAGCUUCAACUCAACAUGUGUGCUUGCCUCAGGAGACUGCAGGAUGCAGGUGCUUCAGAUAGGAAAUGAAAAUAUUGUGUUUACUAUUAAUAAGACUCAAGCCUGUUGGCUCCAACAGAACAGCUUGGCGUAAUUCAUCAUGAGCCCGACGAGACAUUUUAAAAUAUUACAAUAAUGUGUGUUAGCAGAGUCCGGAGGUGAAACCAAGAGCUAAAAAAAAAACCCUUGACCUUACUUAACUGAUGACUGAAACACAAUGUCAUCAUUGUUCCAGUUUGUAGACUCCUGAGUAAAUGAAGAUGCAGCACACAGGCGUUAAGAAUUUGGAUCGUUUAUUUAAUUAAAUCACAUUUUUAAAAAACAAAUCACUUCAGAACUGCAGUUUUUGAAAGCGUCGAACACUUGAAUUCACAUUUUAUUGCUUGUUAUUGUAAGAAUCUCUCUUUAAAUGAUGGUGAGACGUGGAUAAUAACAUGGGAUUUACAUCAAAAUUGUUUCAACAGUUCCAGGUCCCAAAUGUAAUGUUGGACUCCCUUUUGAAAGUUUCAUCACCAUUUUGGCACUCAAUGCUCAGACGCAGACAACUCUGAGGGAAUUCAUCACCAAUCAACCCUCAACUGUCCCAUAUUGAGCGGGAUGCCGCUAAGAUUGUUUUCAGUGAAAACGACAGUUAAAAAAAAAAAGAAAAGAAAAAACUAUUAAGCAGUAAAAAACUUCUUUUUUUUAAACAAAAAAACAUUACAGUGCUACUGAUCAUGCUCUGAGUGCCAAAAUGAAAUCAGAAUGUGUUAUAUUUUUCGUAACACUUUUUGUGUCCAGGAGUUGCAAGCAUUUGACUUUUUUUUAAAUAAAUAAAAUCCAAUAAGGAAUAUAAAAACAACUGUAACAUCCACUUUAAACUGUUGGAGGUUAAAACUUACAUAAAUACAGUUAGCUUAAAUAAAUAAAUUAAAAAGUAUAAAUAUACUGUUUACUGUACAGAAAAAAAAACAAUGCGCUUGUGCGGGAAAAUAUAAAACGUUGCCUAUUUUUUUUCUUUGUUUUUUGCUGUUUUAAAUGAUUCCAGAUUGAGCUCUUUCUUUGUUGAUGUUGAAUCAGAUUCAGUUCAGUCUGAAACUUCUUUUCACACAAUCAGGAAGCAGCAAAUGUUCCUUUCACUUCUUCUACUUCUUGUCUAGUGCUUGCCACACUUCCAUUCCAGUCCAUCCCCCGACCCUUCCGAUAUUCCACCUUCAGAUGUGGCUGUCUUCUUCUCCUGGGGCCUACGGGGAUACGCUGAGCUGUCCAUUUGUAUCUUUUUUUUACGUGAACAUCCAGCUAGGGUUGCAGCGGACGCCCCCUGUUUCCCUUCUUCAUCCGUCUGUGUUCCUUUGCUUUUCACCAGGACCUCCUUCUGUGGUUCACUUCUUUUUCUAUUUUGAGGUAGUAUCGCCGCUUCUUUGCCUAACACGAGAGGAGAAAAGACAGCAAACAAUGAGAUAAGCAUUGCAAUUUAUACAAAAACGUGGAAGGAAACGUGUGUCAUUGUGAGAUAUUAGCCCUGCGCUUCACGACACUAUCUCGUCAAUUUAUGUAUCUUGGGGAAAAAUAUAGACCGGGGUGGUGAAACUUUUUGGCAUCAACAAACACAUACUUCUUCCUGGUUAAAUGAUUUGGAACGUUUUAGUAGAGUUCCUCCAACGCGCCAUUUGGUUUUAGAUUUAAAUUAUGGGCCAGGCCAAAUUCCUUCUCAGUCUGUAUUGUGUAUGGCCCACGCACCAUAGGUUUCCCAACCCUUGAUGAGCAAAUCGAGGCCCGCAAAACACAUGGCGUAAAUUAUACGCGAUUUCUCGCUAUU